rnacentral:rRNA from 1 species
GAUGAACGCUAGCGGCAGGCUUAAUACAUGCAAGUCGAGGGGCAGCGCAGUGUAGCAAUACAUGGGCGGCGACCGGCAAACGGGUGCGGAACACGUACGCAACCUUCCUUUAAGUGGGGGAUAGCCCAGGGAAACUUGGAUUAAUACCCCGUAAUAUUAUGAAGUGGCAUCACUUUAUACUUAUAGCUCCGGCGCUUAAAGAUGGGCGUGCGACUGAUUAGGUAGUUGGCGGGGUAACGGCCCACCAAGCCUGCGAUCAGUAACUGGUGUGAGAGCACGACCAGUCACACGUGCACUGAGAAACGGGCCCGACUCCUACGGGAGGCAGCAGUAAGGAAUAUUGGUCAAUGGACGCAAGUCUGAACCAGCCAUGCCGCGUGGAGGAUGAAGGUCCUCUGGAUUGUAAACUUCUUUUAUUUGGGAAGAAACCCACUGUUUCUACGGUGGUUGACGGUACCAGAUGAAUAAGCACCGGCUAACUCCGUGCCAGCCGCCGCUGUAAUAC